CUGUGUAUUUUAUUACUGAUGUCACCUGAGAUCCUGUGGCAGAUCCUGAUGGGAGUAGUCAAGGUUGAUGGCGAUGUGGCUGUCUUGAGGCUUGCACUCAAAUGCUAGAUGUUUAGGGACAUUGUCAGUGAGCCCAAAUUUAAAGAACAGGCUCACUUUUUGUGGCUUGACAGUCAUGAGAACUGGAUUGUGUUCUACAGACAACAGUUUCGGAUGCCCUACUGUCUGACUCAAUGCUUCCACUGUGGAGAAAUCUUCAAAGACUGCCCACCUGGCAAUGUUGGGGAAAAAUAUUUGCACAAGUUACAUAAUAAUAUACGAGCAUAUAUUUGACAUGACUUUAUUUUCAUGAAUCUUAUAAUAGUUCGAUGAUUUCUGUUUAGGGACACCAAAUAUAAAUUGUUAUACGAAAUAAUUUGCUUUUUUACGAUAAUGCACACUUUUUUCUACUCAUAUUGUAUGAAGACCACAACUUGCUCUACAAUAUGGAACAGCAUAUUUUGCAUAUUUUUCAAAGUAUUAAAAUAUCUUUUGACAUUUUUAUUUCAUUUAAAUAUAACAGCACCCACACUGUCGUAUAACUGUUGAGGGUGAAAUACAAUUUGAAAACUUACUGGCUGUAUUGGAAAAAUAAACAAAAAUGGCAUGUGCAUAAAAAUUUGGAACACGGUGU